AGGAUAAACGCUGGCGGCGUGCCUAACACAUGCAAGUCGAACGCGCUUUCGGGCUUCGGUGCGAGAGCGAGUGGCGGACGGGUGAGUAACACAUGGGUACCUGCCUUUCAGUGAGGGAUACCGGCGAGAAAUCGCCGACAAUACCGCAUGGGCUUGUGGGAACACAAGCAAAGUGGCGCAAGCCACGCUGGAAGAUGGGCCUGUGGCCGAUUAGCUAGUUGGGGGGUAACGGCUCCCAAGGCGACGAUCGGUAGCUGGUCUGAGAGGACGAUCAGCCACACUGGGAUUGAGAACGGCCCAGACUCCUACGGGGGGCAGCAGUGAGGAAUUUUCCGCAAUGGACGAAAGUCUGACGGAGCAACGCCGCGUGCAGGAGGAAGGUUUCGGAUCGUAAACUGCUUUCUCGGGGACGAGCAAGGACGGUACCCGAGGAACGAAGCCCCGGCUAACUACGCGCCAGCAGCCGC
rnacentral:rRNA from 1 species